rnacentral:rRNA from 1 species
CCUACGGGAGGCAGCAGUGGGGAAUCUUGCACAAUGGAGGAAACUCUGAUGCAGCGAUGCCGCGUGAGUGAAGAAGGCCUUUGGGUUGUAAAGCUCUUUUGUAGGGGAAGAUAAUGACUGUACCCUAAGAAUAAGGUCCGGCUAACUUCGUGCCAGCAGCCGCGGUAAUACGAAGGGACCUAGCGUAGUUCGGAAUUACUGGGCGUAAAGCGCGCGUAGGCCGUUGAGUUAGUUAAUUGUGAAAUCCCAAAGCUUAACUUUGGAACUGCAAUUAAAACUGCUCGACUAGAGUUUGAUAGAGGAAAGCGGAAUACAUAGUGUAGAGGUGAAAUUCGUAGAUAUUAUGUAGAACACCAGUUGCGAAGGCGGCUUUCUGGAUCAACACUGACGCUGAGGCGCGAAAGUAUGGGUAGCAAAGAGGAUUAGAUACCCUCGUAGUCCAUACCAUAAACGAUGAUUGCUAGAUGUUGGAAAUUUAUUUUCAGUAUCGNANCACNCAUANANANCNCNGGNGACGACGCAGUAACUACAAGAAUAGAGNGNGAGAGNGCGAGACGACACGAGGAGAG